AUUGAACGCUGGCGGCAGGCCUAACACAUGCAAGUCGAGUGGAUGAAGGGAGCUUGCUCCUGGAUUCAGCGGCGGACGGGUGAGUAAUGCCUAGGAAUCUGCCUGGUAGUGGGGGAUAACGUCCGGAAACGGGCGCUAAUACCGCAUACGUCCUGAGGGAGAAAGUGGGGGAUCUUCGGACCUCACGCUAUCAGAUGAGCCUAGGUCGGAUUAGCUAGUUGGUGGGGUAAAGGCCUACCAAGGCGACGAUCCGUAACUGGUCUGAGAGGAUGAUCAGUCACACUGGAACUGAGACACGGUCCAGACUCCUACGGGAGGCAGCAGUGGGGAAUAUUGGACAAUGGGCGAAAGCCUGAUCCAGCCAUGCCGCGUGUGUGAAGAAGGUCUUCGGAUUGUAAAGCACUUUAAGUUGGGAGGAAGGGCAGUAAGUUAAUACCUUGCUGUUUUGACGUUACCAACAGAAUAAGCACCGGCUAACUUCG
rnacentral:rRNA from 1 species